AGUCUUCGUGACUCAGGUGGGGCGUCCUCCACUUGUCUCAGCCCUGGGCAGCCACAGGGCCUUCACUGAUAUGAAUGUUCUGCAGUGGCUUGUCCUGGAUCAUCUUUCUCUCUGCAAUCUAACCUCAUGGCUGCUGCCUGGUGACAGCUGCGUCCUGUCUGGGCAUCCUAUCAGCAGAAGCAAAGGAUUCUGAAGACCUAAGAAAUGGCAGAACCACAAAAUGAAAACAGCCUGGGUCCCUGCAUCACCACAUGGAAGGCUUUCCACUGAACGCUUGUACUAAACUGUUAUUAUAGGCUGGGAAGUUCAAAGUCCAGGGAACACACCUGCUGAGGGCCUUCUUCUUGGUGAAAACCCUACACAGGCCUGUGGCAAGCUAACAUCCUCACCUGCUCUCCUUUUAAAGCCGUCAGACCCAUGCCCAUUACUACCCACUGAACCAUCAACUUAUUACUCCAUGAAUGGAUCAAUCCACU